rnacentral:rRNA from 1 species
GACGGAGGAUGCAAGUGUUAUCCGGAAUCACUGGGCGUAAAGCGUCUGUAGGUGGUUCGAAAAGUCCACUGUUAAAAAUUGAGGCUUAAACUUCAAAGAUGCCGUGGAAACUUUCAACUAGAGUAUGGUAGGGGUAGAGGGAAUUUCCAGUGGAGCGGUGAAAUGCGUAGAUAUUGGGAAAGACCACCGGAUGGCGAAGGCGCAGCUCGUCGUGCUGGCACU